rnacentral:rRNA from 1 species
UGGUAGGACAAAAGGCAUCUUUAGUCUAUUAAAGUAGGGGAUCGCAAGACCUUGCGGUUAGAGAGAGGUCCAUGGGAUAUCAGCUAGUUGGUGCGGUAAAAGCGCACCAAGGCUAAGACGUCUAGGCGGAUUGAGAGAUUGACCGCCAACACUGGGACUGAGAACUGCCCAGACUCCUACGGGAGGCUGCAGUCGAGAAUCAUUCGCAAUGGGCGAAAGCCUGACGAUGCGACGCCGUGUGAGCGAAGAAGGCCUUAGGGUCGUAAAAGCUCUUUCGCCUGGGAACAAGAGAAGUCGGCUAAUAUCCGGCGGAUUUGAGGGUACUAGGUAAAGAAGCACCGGCUAACUCCGUGCCAGCAGCUGCGGUAAUACGGAGGGUGCAAGCAUUAAUCGGAUUUAUUGGGCGUAAAGGGCGCGUAGGCGGGGAUAAUAGUCAGAUGUGAAAUCCUGGGGGCUCAACCUCAGAACUGCAUUUGAAACUGUAUCUCUCGAGGGUAGGCGG